UACGGGAGGCAGCAGUGGGGAAUAUUGCACAAUGGGCGCAAGCCUGAUGCAGCCAUGCCGCGUGUAUGAAGAAGGCCUUCGGGUUGUAAAGUACUUUCAGUCGUGAGGAAGGUGUUAAGGUUAAUAACCUUAGCAAUUGACGUUAGCGACAGAAGAAGCACCGGCUAACUACGUGCCAGCAGCCGCGGUAAUACGUAGGGUGCGAGCGUUGUCCGGAAUUACUGGGCGUAAAGGGCUCGUAGGUGGUUUUGUCGCGUCGUCUGUGAAAUUCCGGGGCUUAACUCCGGGCGUGCAGGCGAUACGGGCAUAACUUGAGUACUGUAGGGGUAACUGGAAUUCCUGGUGUAGCGGUGAAAUGCGCAGAUAUCAGGAGGAACACCGAUGGCGAAGGCAGGUUACUGGGGCAGUUACUGACGCUGAGGAGCGAAAGCAUGGGGUAGCGGAACAGGGAUUAGGAUACC
rnacentral:rRNA from 1 species